ACCCGGGCCGCACGCAUGCCAGGCAAGUGCGAUACCGCUUGAGCCACAUCUCCAGCCCCAAAAUUGGAAAUACUUAAUGACAACAAACUUGGAGGGAUAGAGAGCUAUAUCCAGCCAUGCAACAAGGACAUCUCAUGAAAAAAAUUGCUUGAUCUACAGGAGGAAUAAGGCCUUGCCUUGCAGAGUGAUUCUUAUUGGGAGCAUUUAUUGAGCAGGUACAGCUUACUACAUCAUAGAAGUUGCCAGGGGAAUUCAAGAGAUGCAGGAAUGAACUACUCAUUAAGUCCAGAAGCAAGCCAGCAUGAUACCAAUAAAAGUGAUGUGGUCUUAAUUAUAGUUUUGGUCUCCCUAACAAGACAGGAAGAGUAGAUUGGAAAGACUGGACCCAAGGAAGAAAGAUCAGUUUUUGGUUUCUUGAGCUGUGAUGCUAAGGCAGGUAGGCAGCCAGGUCUGCUGAGAACAAGUUUCAACAGUGAAAAAUUUCUUUUUCACCUCAGGGUGACUGGCCUCUCUCUGUAUCUGAUGGUCAGGCCUCGGUCAUUUCUAUCAGUUUGUUUAUCCUUUCCCCAACCCCCAUCAGCUGGAUAUUAAGAACAGCAGUGAGUAUUGGUUGAGGAGUGGUUGAGUCAGUGGCAAAAUGGCUCCUCAAAGUCAUUUUUUAUGAGCCCAACUGACAAUUAGAAAUAAAAAGUGAUGCCUUAUUUUUUUCAUUGUUACUUUAGCGCUUUCCUACUAGGGAAAGAGUCAAGCAGAAGGAUCCUGCUCUUACAAAACACGUUCACCCUAGAUUCAUAUUUCUUAUACUCUAUUUUCUGUGAAUA